rnacentral:rRNA from 1 species
UGGGGAAUAUUGGACAAUGGGCGCAAGCCUGAUCCAGCCAUGCCGCGUGAGUGAUGAAGGCCUUAGGGUUGUAAAGCUCUUUCAGUGGGGACGAUAAUGACGGUACCCACAGAAGAAGCCCCGGCUAACUUCGUGCCAGCAGCCGCGGUAAUACGAAGGGGGCUAGCGUUGUUCGGAUUUACUGGGCGUAAAGCGCACGUAGGCGGAUUGUUAAGUGAGGGGUGAAAUCCCAGGGCUCAACCCUGGAACUGCCUUUCAUACUGGCAAUCUAGAGUCCGGAAGAGGUGAGUGGAACUCCUAGUGUAGAGGUGGAAUUCGUAGAUAUUAGGAAGAACACCAGUGGCGAAGGCGGCUCACUGGUCCGGUACUGACGCUGAGGUGCGAAAGCGUGGGGAGCAAA